AACGACUCUCGACAACGGAUAUCUCGGCUCUCGCAUCGAUGAAGAACGUAGCGAAAUGCGAUACUUGGUGUGAAUUGCAGAAUCCCGUGAACCAUCGAGUCUUUGAACGCAAGUUGCGCCCGAAGCCAUUAGGCUGAGGGCACGUCUGCCUGGGUGUCACGCA
rnacentral:rRNA from 2 species